rnacentral:rRNA from 1 species
AUUGAACGCUGGCGGCAGGCCUAACACAUGCAAGUCGAGCGGAAACGAUCCUAGCUUGCUAGGAGGCGUCGAGCGGCGGACGGGUGAGUAACGCGUGAGAAUCUACCCAUGAGUGGGGGACAACCCGGGGAAACUCGGGCUAAUACCGCAUACGCCCUACGGGGUAAAGCAGGGGACCUUCGGGCCUUGCGCUGAUGGAUGAGCUCGCGUCGGAUUAGCUUGUUGGUGAGGUAAAGGCUCACCAAGGCGACGAUCCGUAGCUGGUCUGAGAGGAUGAUCAGCCACACCGGGACUGAGACACGGCCCGGACUCCUACGGGAGGCAGCAGUGGGGAAUCUUGGACAAUGGGGGCAACCCUGAUCCAGCCAUGCCGCGUGUGUGAAGAGGGCCUUCGGGUUGUAAAGCACUUUCAGCAGGGAGGAAGGCUUACCCCUAAUACGGGUGAGUACUUGACGUUACCUGCAGAAGAAGCACCGGCUAAUUUCGUG